rnacentral:rRNA from 1 species
UACGUAGGUGUCGAGCGUUGUCCGGAUUUAUUGGGCGUAAAGAGCCCGCAGGCGGCUUGGCAAGUUUGAGGUGAAAUCUCCCGGCUUAACUGGGAGGGGGCCUCGAAAACUGCCAGGCUUGAGGCAUGGAGAGGGAUGCGGAAUUCCCGGUGUAGUGGUGAAAUGCGUAGAUAUCGGGAGGAACACCUGUGGCGAAAGCGGCGCACUGGACCACAACUGACGCUGAGGCGCGAAAGCUAGGGGAGCAAACAGG